rnacentral:lncRNA from 1 species
GAUUAAUAUGCAUUUUUUAUUUGUCCACAAAUGACCACUCUCUUCUCUCUCCUAGUUAUCAGGUUGUUAUGAAAAUGCAAGGUAGUAUUUCAGCAGAUGGCUAAAUUUAAUUUUUUUUCUUUUUACAGUUUCACAGAAAAAAAAGUGUUAAGAAUUGUUCUUAACCGCUUCAGACUCCAGAGCGCGAAGCUGCUGUUGCAUCCUGUUUUCUAGCUUUGAUGGCAGGAGAAACACAUGUUCUGUGAGUCUCAGACUAUAGCCCGCUUUUUUUCUUUCACACAGUGUAACUAUUGAAGUCAUUUGUACUGG